GGGGGGGGGGGGGGGGGGGGGGGGGGGGGGGGGGGGGGGGGGGGGGGGGGGGGGGGGGGGGGGGGGGGGGGUUUUUUUUUCUUCUCAGACGCUUUCUCGAGGCGUGUCUCCUCCGAGCCUCUUGGGAGCACCAUUUCCACGUCUGUUUGGGCUGCCCGGACACGUCACCAUCCCUGUCCCUGUCCCUGCAGGGGGACAGGAGCGGGGAAGUGACCCGUGGGAUGUGAGGAGGAGCCCAGAGCUUGCCUGAAACCAGAGAUUCCUGGGAGGUUUCCAAGCCAGUCGCUGAACCCAACUGGAUUUUGAUUGCUCUGUCGCCUGUCAACCUGAAAUUCUGGAGCUGCUCUGUCCCUGCAGGACUUUGGGUGUCCCAGCUCCCUCUCCCGGCAUCCCAGUGACCUUUUCACAAUCUCUGUGCCAGGCUGGGCUCCAGGCAGUGAGUGGCUGGAAAUCCUGCCCAGGGCACCGAGCAGGAGUUCCUGGGAUCUGGGGAGCUGGGCCAGGGCUCUCCAUCUGCUCCAGCCCCGCUGCCAAGUUCAACUUCUGCGCUGCAGAUCGCACAAAGGGGAGAAAAGAAAAGGAAAAAAAAAAAAAUA
rnacentral:lncRNA from 1 species